UACGAAGGGGGCUAGCGUUGCUCGGAAUCACUGGGCGUAAAGGGUGCGUAGGCGGGUUUUUAAGUCAGAGGUGAAAUCCUGGAGCUCAACUCCAGAACUGCCUUUGAUACUGAAAGUCUUGAGUAUGGGAGAGGUGAGUGGAACUGCGAGUGUAGAGGUGAAAUUCGUAGAUAUUCGCAAGAACACCAGUGGCGAAGGCGGCUCACUGGCCCAUUACUGACGCUGAGGCGCGAAAGCGUGGGGAGCAAACAGG
rnacentral:rRNA from 1 species